rnacentral:rRNA from 1 species
GAUGAACGCUGGCGGCGUGCCUAAUACAUGCAAGUCGAGCGAACAGAUGAGGAGCUUGCUCCUCUGACGUUAGCGGCGGACGGGUGAGUAACACGUGGAUAACCUACCUAUAAGACUGGGAUAACUUCGGGAAACCGGAGCUAAUACCGGAUAAUAUAUCGAACCGCAUGGUUCAAUAGUGAAAGACGGUUUUGCUGUCACUUAUAGAUGGAUCCGCGCCGCAUUAGCUAGUUGGUAAGGUAACGGCUUACCAAGGCAACGAUGCGUAGCCGACCUGAGAGGGUGAUCGGCCACACUGGAACUGAGACACGGUCCAGACUCCUACGGGAGGCAGCAGUAGGGAAUCUUCCGCAAUGGGCGAAAGCUUGACGGAGCAACGCCGCGUGAGUGAUGAAGGUCUUCGGAUCGUAAAACUCUGUUAUUAGGGAAGAACAAAUGUGUAAGUAACUAUGCACGUCUUGACGGUACCUAAUCAGAAAGCCACGGCUAACUACGUG